CAAUGGACRAUACAAACGGYUGCCAACUCGCGAGAGGGAGCUAAUCCGAUAAAGUCGUUCUCAGUUYGGAUUGUAGGCUGCAACUYGCCUACAUGAAGCCGGAAUCGCUAGUAAUCGCGGAUCAGCAUGCCGCGGUGAAUACGUUCCCGGGCCUUGUACACACCGMMMGKCACACCACGAGAGUUUGUAACACCCGAAGUCGGUGGGGUAACCUUUUGGAGCCAGCCGCCGAAGGGUGGA
rnacentral:rRNA from 1 species